GCAUAUUUUAUUUCGGUAUUUGAGAAUAUCUAAAUUUUUGGCGAGAGCUUCAACUGGAAAUACAAAUCGAAUUGUCGAAACAUAGCCUGCGUAGCAAGGUUUUUUUAUGGGUAGGUCCCACCCUCGGCCUCCCCCAUAAAAUAGAGCCUGCUACGCAGGCUAGUCGAAACAAUACAAUGUUUACAUCCUAGUACUCGGGAAAGUCCUGCCUCGUCCCCAGACCAUAGGCGUUAUAAAAAGAUUUCACAUACGAGUCACAAUAUAAAAGUUUACAUGAAGUAAUUUACGAGCAAAGAAGGGUGGGAUAUGAGCGUUCUGGUUAGCCUCAACUCCAUAAAAUCGGCCCUGCGCUACACAGGAAAAAAACGCCCAGCCUGUAACAAUGUUGAUGAAACAAGCUUGAACAAUAUUUUGCUGCCCAUAUUGUUCCUGCUUGUUAACAAUAGUGUUAAGCAUUGUUAAGGCUCAACAAUGCUGAACAACAUUGUUAACAAGCAGGAACAAUAUGGGCAGCAAAAUAUUGUUCAAGCUUGUUUUCAUCAACAUUGUUACAGGCUGGGCGUUUUUUUGCAGUUUACUUGUUCAUCGCGAUGCACUACUUCAUGUCAAUCUUUUAUAUAGUGACUCGUAUGUGAAAUUUUGUUAUAGCGCCUACGGUCUGGGGACGAGGUAGGGAAAUGUCGGAAAUCGAUAAAGGUCAAAUUCCCUUGUAGCGUGGCCCAAGUUAUGUUCAGCGAAAGGUAUGGUUAGUCUAUAUUUUUGUUCAGACAAUUUGAUAAUAUACAAUCUCGCGUAACUUUCAGAGGCCACAAAUCGCUACAAUGUUGAUGACUAAAACUAUUACUGAAUCGAAUGUUGGCAGACACGCAGAUGUUGGCACCUUCUAUUAACCUACGAUGCUUGGGACUGGGCAAGGAAAGAGUUUAAAAUUUAUGAAUUUUUAGCCGUUUACGGCGAACUAGUAGAGUUAAUUUAUAUUUUCUAGUGGUUUGUUUUUAAAAAUGUUGCUGUAUUAUGGCUAGUUUAUACGGUAUCUGGCAUCAAACAACAUUAAAGAAUGAAUAAAGAAAUAUAUGGUCCAAUGGUUG